UACAUGGGGUGCAAACGUUGCUCGGAAUUAUUGGGCGUAAAGCGCACGUAGGUGGUCUGUUAUAUCAGAUGUGAAAGCCCUCGGCUUAACUGAGGAAGUGCACCUGAAACUGGCAGGCUUGAGUACGAAAGAGGGUCGCGGAAUUCCCGGUGUAGAGGUGAAAUUCGUAGAUAUCGUGAGGAACACCAGAGGCGAAGGCGGCUACCUGGACAAUUGCUGACGCUCAGGCACGAAAGCGUGGGGAGCAAAAGGG
rnacentral:rRNA from 1 species